AUACGGAGGGUGCAAGCGUUAUUCGGAAUCACUGGGCGUACAGGACGCGUAGGCGGGUUGGCAAGUCAGAUGUGAAAUCCUACAGCUUAACUGUAGAACUGCAUUUGAAACUGCUAACCUAGAGUAUGAGAGGGGGAGAUGGAAUUAGUGGUGUAGGGGUAAAAUCCGUAGAUAUCACUAGGAAUACCGAAAGCGAAGGCGAUCUCCUGGAACAUAACUGACGCUAAGGCGUGAAAGCGUGGGGAGCAAACAGAAUUAGAAACCCUAGUAGUCC
rnacentral:rRNA from 1 species